CCUACGGGGGGCUGCAGUGGGGAAUAUUGGACAAUGGGGGCAACCCUGAUCCAGCCAUGCCGCGUGUGUGAAGAAGGCCCUCGGGUUGUAAAGCACUUUCAGUGAGGAAGAACGCCUGGUGGUUAAUACCCAUCAGGAAAGACAUCACUCACAGAAGAAGCACCGGCUAACUCCGUGCCAGCAGCCGCGGUAAUACGGAGGGUGCGAGCGUUAAUCGGAAUUACUGGGCGUAAAGCGCGCGUAGGUGGCUUGAUAAGCCGGUUGUGAAAGCCCCGGGCUCAACCUGGGAACGGCAUCCGGAACUGUCAAGCUAGAGUGCAGGAGAGGAAGGUAGAAUUCCCGGUGUAGCGGUGAAAUGCGUAGAGAUCGGGAGGAAUACCAGUGGCGAAGGCGGCCUUCUGGACUGAUACUGACACUGAGGUGCGAAAGCGUGGGUAGCAAACAGGAUUAGAUACCCCAGUAGUC
rnacentral:rRNA from 1 species